rnacentral:rRNA from 1 species
GGGAUAACAUUCUGAAAAGAAUGCUAAUACCGCAUGACAUAUCGGAACCACAUGGUUCUGAUAUCAAAGAUUUUAUCGCUUGAAGAUGGACUCGCGUCCGAUUAGUUAGUUGGUGAGGCAACGGCUCACCAAGACCGCGAUCGGUAGCCGGACUGAGAGGUUGAACGGCCACAUUGGGACUGAGACACGGCCCAGACUCCUACGGGAGGCAGCAGUGGGGGAUAUUGCGCAAUGGGGGCAACCCUGACGCAGCAACGCCGCGUGAAGGAUGAAGGUUUUCGGAUUGUAAACUUCUUUUAUUAAGGACGAAAAAUGACGGUACUUAAUGAAUAAGCUCCGGCUAACUACGUGCCAGCAGCCGCGGUAAUACGUAGGGAGCAAGCGUUGUCCGGAUUUACUGGGUGUAAAGGGUGCGUAGGCGGCUUUGCAAGUCAGAUGUGAAAUCUAUGGGCUCAACCCAUAAACUGCAUUUGAAACUGUAGAGCUUGAGUGAAGUAGAGGCAGGCGGAAUUCCCCGUGUAGCGGUGAAAUGCGUAGAGAUGGGGAGGAACACCAGUGGCGAAGGCGGCCUGCUGGGCUUUAACUGACGCUGAGGCACGAAAGCGUGGGUAGCAAACAGGAUUAGAUACCCUGGUAGUCCACGCUGUAAACGAUGAUUACUAGGUGUGGGGGGUCUGACCCCUUCCGUGCCGGAG